UUGACCAAAGCCUUUAACCCAGAGUAAUCUGGAAGAAGUCUCAGAUUUCUGUUUCCAUAUCUGUUUUUACCAUAGAGGAUAAACAAUUUUUGUGAUACAGACUUGGACACAUCUCUGUUUAUAAUAACUUGUCAACGGGAAAGAAGAGAGCCAAAUGAAUUAGUCUUUCACUCCCUGUGUAUCAAAAUGGGGAUGGACAUCUGGGCUGUUGAUUUUUAGCCUAAAUAUCAGCUCAGCAUCACAUGCAUUUGGGACUCUAGAAAAUAAAGCCAUCUAUAUCACUUAUGCAUAACAGAAAACAGUGGACAACAGGAAAAACCUCCUUUGAAUUUCAGUUGAAGGUCUUAUUUGAUCUACAAAGACCUACUCCCUGACACAUGGCUGAGGGGAGUCUCAUGCCACUGAGUCAUUCCCCAUCAUCAGCAAAGCUCCAUCCAGACUUGGUCACCAGGGCUGAAAAAAAGCUGACCCUAGCAUGGGAGGCAAAACAGGGAGAUCAUCUUCUAUCUCAACUCAUCCCAACAUAGUACUUCACAUCUUGAGCACCACAGAGCAACAGUAUAGGAGACACCAGCCUUGUGCUGAGUGGUUCAUCUUCCUUGGUUUUCAGCCAUGACUCAGCAGUUGGCAGCACGAGACACCCCUGCUCUCCCACCCCAAGGACAUCAUAUAUAUGUUCAUUUUAAAUAUAGGGAGGUGAUCCACUCCUCUAGCACAGAUGCUUAGCCAAUUAGAUUGGUCUGAGUGUCCUCAGCAUUUAAGCAGAUCACUGACAAAAAUAGAAAAUCAGAAGGACUUGGAAGCUAUUUUGGUCUAGGCUUUGACUGUAAAAGGUAUGGCUGAUAACUGAGACCACUGGCUCCAUUACAAAUAAACGCUCCAUUUAGAGUAGACAGAUGAACUGAAUCAAAUAGAUGAGCUUCUGUUUUUACAUCUUGGUAAGUGUUUUGCUAUGAGAAAUAGUCUUCACUUGAUCUACAUUGCCUUAUCUCAAUGUCCCCUACAAAGAAAGCAAUUAUCCCCUACUGUCCCCAAAUAUCUUCUCUCUUUCACAGAUAUUCAACUACCACUCUAUACAAAUGUUUUCAGAUAUUGUCUUUUGAUUCAGAGCACCACUAUCCAUACAUGAAAAUGCAGCUCAUAUCUUGCAGCAAUAUGAGAGGACUUCAGUUUCCAGUAGAUAAGAUUGCUGCACUAAACUACAUCUUGGAAUGUAAUAUCCAGCCUCUGAUCUCCGUGUGACCCACUAUUUUCCUCCCACUGUAGCAUGUGAGAAAUUUUAAUGGUCUUUUUUUCUCAGUCAACACCUGUGAGAGGGAGGGAAGUAUCAUUAUCUCAGUUCUACAGAGGAUCACCAUUAGCAGAAACAAGCUAAGGUCAAGGUUAUCUGAAACGUCUACAACCCAGCCAGAAAUAGUUCUUCUGGGUCCUUCUGAGGCUUUGACCACACACUGAAAAAAGUCAGCAUUUCAUUCGAACAAACACUGAAUCAAAAAAUGGACGAACAACUCAAAAUGAGACAGUGGCAGAAUAUCAGUUUGCAACCUCUUUCCUAAUACAGGCAUCUCAACUGAACGCAUGGAGGAAAUGUGUGAAAAGCACUUCCUGUGCUGUUUUGCUCACUUUGCUCCGGUAUGCCAAGGAUACUCAACAAUACGUGUCUUGGAAAUUUUCAAACUGUUUCUGGAGUGCCAAGAUAUAGUAGAUGAUACCUCCUAACAAAUCACCUUGGACUUCCCUUGAGGAGAAACUCACUACUGGAGUCCAGCCUGACUAUAGAAUUAUGGAAUAAUUCGUGUUGGAAGGGGCUUCUGGAGACCCCUACUCUAACCUCUGUUCAGAGCAGAGGACUCAACUUCUGAGCAGUCUGCUCCAGCUGUCAAUAUUGUCAAGGAUGGAGAGUCUCCAAAAAUCAAACUACUUGAAGAAGAGCAAUAAAUAAUGGAAUCAAAUUCUUCUUGGCAGUGGUGAAAAGUCAAGUGAGGAACAGUAAUAAAGGGUAGAAGAAGAGGUUGCUAGACUGCACUUAGGAAGCUCAGAUUGGCCACUAGGACACUUGUUUUUUUUUUCCUGGAGGUGGAUGGUGCAGCUCUGAGACCUACAUCUGGAGAGGAGGUAAGAACUUUACCCUUGGGGGUUUCCAAGACUUAGCCAGACAACAGCAGAGUUGGUUGCUUUCAAUGUGAGAUUGGACCACAGAACUCCAGAAGCCCUCUUCAACUUGUGUGUCUGUGUGAAGUAGAUAGCUCAAUGGAUCAAUUGGUCAGUGGAAGUCAACAUAGCUUUUAUAAAGACACGCCAUACCUCACAAAUCCAUCAGAUAUUUCUGGAAAGUUGUCAGGCAUGAGGGCCAGAGCUGUUCUAUUGAUUCACUGCAGCCGGUUUUUGAAAAACACAGGCAGCUGAAUUCUCUCUCCCAGUCAAGGUUCUUAAAGAAAUUACUGUCAUGAAAUAUCAGAAGCUCAUAAGAAUGAAAUACCAGAAGUUAAAAGUAGGCAUAAAUUAUUAUAUGUAUGCACACAUACAUAUGAUAAUGCAUGUACACAUGCAUGCAUAUGUUUCUUUGUGUACAUUUUUGUGUGUAUACAUAUGUAACACUUAUAUAAUAAGCUUCUGGAAAGUCCCCUGAGAAUUUAUGCUGAAUUUCUUCUGUUCACUACCAUCACAGUGAUCUGGAAAAGGGAUGAGCAAUCAAAUGAUCAAGUGACUAGCUGCUGUAAGUUAUCCAGGAUUUUGAGAUCUAAAUCUGAAUAUGAAUAACUGUGACAUGAUGCUGAGUGACCAGGCAAUGAAACCACUGGUAAAAUGCAGUGUCAAUAAGCAUAGGUUAAUCUGUGUGGGAGAAAUCACAUUAGCCAUACACAGAAAGUAAAAGGACCAGAGUCAUUGUGAGCAAUCAUCUGAAAAUUCCAGCUCAGUCGCUUUGAAAAAGAGAAUGAUAGGAAUAACUAGAGCAAGGCAAAGAAAAUAAA
ensembl:lncRNA